rnacentral:rRNA from 1 species
ACGCUCGACACCUACGGAGGCAGCAGUCGGGAAUAUUGCGCAAUGGAGGAAACUCUGACGCAGUGACGCCGCGUGCAGGAAGAAGGUUUUCGGAUUGUAAACUGCUUUAGACAGGGAAGAAAAAAGACAGUACCUGUAGAAUAAGCUCCGGCUAACUACGUGACAGCAGCCGCGGUAAUCUGAGCGGGCUGGCAAGGC